GAAACCUGACCUGAGGCCCAGGGCUGGUGGGCAGUGAUGACUCUUCCUGGGAGUGUCCCCAAAGUCAGCCAAGCCUCUGCUGGCCGUGGCCCUGGAAGAUGAACCUCUUGGCCCAGACACUUGCAAACCAGAGCGCAGAGAGGGAGCCACUGUCUUAAGUGGGACUGGAGACAAGAAACCCACCUUCUACUAUUUGGUGAGAAGAACCUGCCACACUGGAGUCCAGGGAGAUACUCCUACCAUGCUGAAGUUAAGGCCAGACACUUGCUAUGUUGAUAUCCAGAUGAGACACCUACCAAGCUUUCAUCCAAGUGAGACACCUGCUGUAUCAAUAUCCAGUCGCAGUGUUACAUGGAAGCAGGCAUUCCAUCUUUUUCAUGAAUGAACUCUAGCUGAGAUCUCCCUUUCUCCUCCUUCUUCUGAUCAGCCAGCCCCACUGCAGGGUGUGAUAGCAUUGUUUGCCAACUUGUUGAGAUUUAGAAGCAACCGGCAGAGAGACCUCUGGGGGAUUAUCUUGAUUCUACUAAUUGCUGUGAGAAGACCCGUAUUGACUGUGAAUGGGUGUUCCCUUGGGCAGGGGGUCCUAGACUGUGUAGCACAGAGAAAGUGAACUGAGCCUGAGGGCAUCCCUCCGUGCUUCCUGCCUGUGCAUACCAUGUGACCAGCUGCUUCUGGCUCCUGCUGCUCUGACUUCCU